rnacentral:rRNA from 1 species
CUAGCUACAGGCUUAACACAUGCAAGUCGAGGGGCAUCAGGAAGAAAGCUUGCUUUCUUUGCUGGCGACCGGCGCACGGGUGAGUAACACGUAUCCAACCUGCCCUUUACUCGGGGAUAGCCUUUCGAAAGAAAGAUUAAUACCCGAUGGCAUAAUGAUUCCGCAUGGUUUCAUUAUUAAAGGAUUCCGGUAAAGGAUGGGGAUGCGUUCCAUUAGGUUGUUGGUGAGGUAACGGCUCACCAAGCCUUCGAUGGAUAGGGGUUCUGAGAGGAAGGUCCCCCACAUUGGAACUGAGACACGGUCCAAACUCCUACGGGAGGCAGCAGUGAGGAAUAUUGGUCAAUGGGCGCUAGCCUGAACCAGCCAAGUAGCGUGAAGGAUGAAGGCUCUAUGGGUCGUAAACUUCUUUUAUAUAAGAAUAAAGUGCAGUAUGUAUACUGUUUUGUAUGUAUUAUAUGAAUAAGGAUCGGCUAACUCCGUGCCAGCAGCCGCGGUAAUACGGAGGAUCCGAGCGUUAUCCGGAUUUAUUGGGUUUAAAGGGAGCGUAGGUGGACUGGUAAGUCAGUUGUGAAAGUUUGCGGCUCAACCGUAAAAUUGCAGUUGAUACUGUCAGUCUUGAGUACAGUAGAGGUGGGCGGAAUUCGUGGUGUAGCGGUGAAAUGCUUAGAUAUCACGAAGAACUCCGAUUGCGAAGGCAGCUCACUGGACUGCAACUGACACUGAUGCUCGAAAGUGUGGGUAUCAAACAGGAUUAGAUACCCUGGUAGUCCACACAGUAAACGAUGAAUACUCGCUGUUUGCGAUAUACAGUAAGCGGCCAAGCGAAAGCAUUAAGUAUUCCACCUGGGGAGUACGCCGGCAACGGUGAAACUCAAAGGAAUUGACGGGGGCCCGCACAAGCGGAGGAACAUGUGGUUUAAUUCGAUGAUACGCGAGGAACCUUACCCGGGCUUAAAUUGCAGUGGAAUGAUGUGGAAACAUGUCAGUGAGCAAUCACCGCUGUGAAGGUGCUGCAUGGUUGUCGUCAGCUCGUGCCGUGAGGUGUCGGCUUAAGUGCCAUAACGAGCGCAACCCUUAUCUUUAGUUACUAACAGGUUAUGCUGAGGACUCUAGAGAGACCGCCGUCGUAAGAUGUGAGGAAGGUGGGGAUGACGUCAAAUCAGCACGGCCCUUACGUCCGGGGCUACACACGUGUUACAAUGGGGGGGUACAGAAGGCAGCUAGCGGGUGACCGUAUGCUAAUCCCAAAAUCCUCUCUCAGUUCGGAUCGAAGUCUGCAACCCGACUUCGUGAAGCUGGAUUCGCUAGUAAUCGCGCAUCAGCCACGGCGCGGUGAAUACGUUCCCGGGCCUUGUACACACCGCCCGUCAAGCCAUGGGAGCCGGGGGUACCUGAAGUACGUAACCGCAAGGAUCGUCCUAGGGUAAAACUGGUGACUGGGG